GGGGAUUUAGCUCAGCAGCACAGCGCCUGCCUGGCAAGCAUGAGGUCCUGAGUAAAAUCCCCA
rnacentral:tRNA from 1 species